UGUAGAUGAGCCGAUAUAUAGUGAGAAAAAGAAAAUGCGUGAGAUGGAGUGCGCUCUCAGACUCAAAAGGAGCAGCCCCCAUCAAGUGCAAAACCCCGCAAGAAAUCAUGCAGCUCUACGGCAGCUACCUGACCCUCAGGGAGCAAAGAGAACUCUUGGCCAUGCAGGAGAUAUGGUACCUUGGGCUCCAAAAUCAGGCCCGGGGCAAGUACAACCAUGGCUACGAUGACGACCAACACCGUUAUAUUCCGGUAAAACACGAGCACCUCAACUUUCGGUAUGAGGUGCUGAAGACGAUUGGGGAGGGCGG